rnacentral:lncRNA from 1 species
GAUCUAGUCUCAAUUAGCAAAGAACGAACUACCACAUUAGUUCGAAUGUCAACUAUAGAAGCUAGGGUAGCUAAGGCAUCAACAAACUGAUUAUGUGCUUUAGGAAGAUGAAUGUAAUUCAACUCCUCAAAAUUUUCAAUUAAUAGCUCUAGGUAGGCAUGAUAUGGCUUUAGCUUUGCAUCUUUGGUCUUCUAUUCACCUCGAACCUAUCUGAG